GUUUGUGUAGCUUAAAUUAAAGCAUAACACUGAAGAUGUUAAGAUGGGCCCUAAAAAGCCUCCCAAACA
rnacentral:tRNA from 1 species